GAAAAUGGUUCUAAUGUAAUUAGCUUCUUUUAUUAUUUAUCUCUCUACUGGAUUCUAUCUAUAUAGAAUAAUAAUUGUCAAUACAUUUGCUUCAUGAUUUCUCAAUAUAUUUCUAGUUUCCUUAUUUUUUCGAGUAUCUUGCUACGUUUUGUCUACCCUUAAAUUUCUACUUUCCCUUGGGUUCCAAAAGCCUCCGUAGUUUGACA